rnacentral:rRNA from 1 species
CGCGUGUCUCGUGUGUCUUCUUUCCUGUGCACCCACGGUAGGUCCUUCGGAUCUACGUCGACCUCUCGAACGUUCGUGGACUGUGUGUACGUGCGUCGGACGCACGAAGGACAACUUUCAGCGACGGAUCUCUUGGCUCUCGCAUCGAUGAAGGACGCAGCGAAUCGCGAUAAGUAAUGUGAAUUGCAGAUCUUCCGUGAAUCAUCGAAUCUUUGAACGCACCUUGCGCUCCUCGGCAUUCCGAGGAGCAUGCCUGUCUGAGCGUCGUGAUAUCCUCGAAUCCGAACCUUUCCCUCUCUCGAGGGAAUCCGGAUCCGGAACUUGGGGGUUGCGGGCACGUCCUCGUGGGCGGUCGGCUCUCCUGAAAUGCAUUAGCGGGGGAGGAUGGCAUCGCGACGGAGCGUGACCCUUCCCCUCGACGUCGUAAGGAUCGUCGUGGGGGGCUCGGGAUCGUGAGCGACCGCGUCCGUCUCAGGCUUUUCUAGUCACACACUCGUGUCUCAGGUUUCGGCCUCAGAUCAGGCAGGACUACCCGCCGACUUAAGC